GUUUUUUUGGACGGAGACGAGAUUUGGUGUGAUCGGCUUAUCUAAAGCUAAAAAUUUCACGACUUCAACCGAGAUUCAACAGACCAUACAUACUCGGCAGAUUGUGAUCAAUCAAGACAAGGCAAACAUGGCUCACAAUUUUGAACUGCUGUGCCGUCUUGCAAGAGAGUGAGAUUCAGCAACACAUAGAAAGACCACAGCAUGGAUUAAGAGACAGGAAGAAUCCAUUUGAAUACUACGAGGG